AACCUUGUUGAAGAUUAACUUAAAACAACUUUGAUGAUGAUUGACAACUCGUGUUGGUCUACUUAGACCAUUCGUUUUUAGGCAUUCAGAAAUCAAAUAAUAUGGCUUGCCAAAAGUAUCUACAGUCGCACUUUUUGGAGGUCUGAGUAUUGCUAAAGACUUUGUGGCAAAGGCUGUAUCUGAGCUCAUUUGAUCAUGAUAGGCAAAAAGUUUCUUUUCAUCUUCAGGAUCUUCCAAGAUUGGUUCCAUUAAGGCUAAUUAGUCCCAAAUCACUUCCGCAUUAGAAAGAAACUUGGUUAUUGGUUGAACUUCACAUAGAGUAAGAAUUCCUAGAGCCCAGAAGUUGGCAUCGAUGAGAAAUGUCAGAGGCAGAGACAUGCUUGGGAAAGAAAUCUCAUACUUCUUUGGCAAUGGCAGAAUGAUGAAAAUGACUCUUUACAACAAGAAUAGUAGUGUCAUGAAACCAAGUGGACUCUUGGUUGGCGGCGUUAAGAUGUGAUUGCCAAUUGGAGUGUGGUACAAAACUUCCCAAUGGUUCAACUGAAAUGUAAAUUGUUCAGUCUCUUUGUUGUUUCAGAAAAGAGAAGAAUGUAAAUAGUUAGUCAUUUAUAAGAGUAAGCUUUUGAUGGACAUGAGUCCAUUUUGGAUGGGAUCAGGAACCUAUCUGCCCCUAUGUUAUUGUCGUUGUUCUUUGUUUCUUGUAAAUAUGAUUUAUUUAUUUAUUUAUUUUCUAGAAAAAUUGAUAUGGGUUUAUGAUUCUAGAUUAAUGAUGUAGUUAUGAUUCUACAUAUAAAAUCUUUGUUGUAACUUGGUACGGAGGAAAGUGAGGUAGCAUAAUAAAUUUGAAUAA